UCGGGAAUUUUGCGCAAUGGACGAAAGUCUGACGCAGCAACGCCGCGUGAGGGAUGACGGCCUUCGGGUUGUAAACCUCUUUUGUCAGGGAAGAUGAUGACGGUACCUGGCGAAUAAGCCACGGCUAACUACGUGCCAGCAGCCGCGGUAAUACGUAGGUGGCAAGCGUUGUCCGGAUUUACUGGGCGUAAAGAGCGCGCAGGCGGUCGUUCAAGUCGCGUGUGAAAGCCCCCGGCUCAACUGGGGAGGGUCACGCGAUACUGAUCGACUCGAAGGCAGGAGAGGGUAGUGGAAUUCCCGGUGUAGUGGUGAAAUGCGUAGAUAUCGGGAGGAACACCAGUGGCGAAGGCGACUACCUGGCCUGUUCUUGACGCUGAGGCGCGAAAGCUAGGGGAGCAAACGGGAUUAGAUACCCACGUAGUCCCUGAGCGGGCUGGCAAGGCGCAU
rnacentral:rRNA from 1 species